ACUCAAAUGAAUUGACGGGGGCCCGCACAAGCGGUGGAUUAUGUGGUUUAAUUCGAAGCAACGCGCAGAACCUUACCUAGGCUUGAAAUCCCACGAAUCCCUUUUAAACGAGGGAGUGCUCUUCGGAGAAUGUGGUGACAGGCGCUGCAUGGCUGUCGUCAGCUCGUGUCGUGAGAUGUUGGGUUAAGUCUCGCAACGAGCGCAACCCCUAUCCUUAGUUGCCAGCAUUAAGUUGGGCACUCUAGGGAGACUGCCUGGGCUAACCAGGAGGAAGGUGGGGAUGACGUCAAGUCCUCAUGGCCCUUAUGUCUAGGGCUACACACGUAAUACAAUGGUCGGUACAGAGGGAUGCGAACUCGCGAGGGGGAGCAAAUCUCAAAAAACCGAUCUCAGUCCGGAUUGGAGUCUGCAACUCGACUCCAUGAAGUUGGAAUCGCUAGUAAUCGCGGAUCAGCACGCCGCGGUGAAUACGUUCCCGGGCCUUGUACACACCGCCCGU
rnacentral:rRNA from 1 species